rnacentral:ncRNA from 2 species
AAAAUCGAGUUCCCAUCCGUGCGUAUAAGCCUGAGAAUACGGCUCAGGCGUCUCUACCGGCAGCCGCAAACUGCCUGGCUACGCACGGCGGACGGAUGAUG